ensembl:lncRNA
AGUCAUUCAAUACACACUGAACAUUUUAUUACGAUGCCUACAUCUAAGAAACUUGAUAAGUCUAAUUAAUUAAAAGAUUAACAUAGCAGCCAACUUGGACUGCAGGGAGUAGACAAUAUGAUGUUUAAUUUUCCCACUAUGUGACCAUCUGAAUUCACUAUUCCUUAUGGGCGGCUCAAACCUGUCAUCAUGACCUUUUGUAACAGCCAAACGUUUUGGAUAAACGUUUUAUUUAAAACAUUUUGUGCAUACUUUUUCCGUUCACGUUAGCCUACAAUUGUUAAAAUUCUCAUAUUUUAAUCAUGACAGACAGAGCUAGCCUCUGGCGGCAAUGCCGUUGUCCCGGCUCUGUGGGAAACCGCCAGGCUCACGCAUACCACAGUGGGCAGAUCUGCAGAGCGCGAGGAGAGAGGAAGUGGAAAUUAGACAGACACGCGAGCAGGGGUUCAGGCCAAAGACAUUAUCCAGACGAGGAGCAGCCGUCAUCACAAGGCCUUGUCGAUGAGCGCCAUAAAUACUGGUCUGGGGAGAAUCUCUGAGGAUACCUCCCAAAUGGCACCCUAUUCCUUGUUUUAGUCCAAUAUUUUACAUGGGCCUUGGACAAAAGUAAUGGACUAGGCGAUAUAGGGAAUAAGGUGUCUUUUAGGACGCACAUUGGGGGAGAAUCUCUUAUUACUAAACAGCUAAACUAGAGCAUCAGAUGAACACACUCAAUGCGUCCCUAAUUGCACCAUAUUCCCUUAAUAGUGCACUACUUUUGACCAGGGCCCAUAGGGCAUUAUAUUGGAAAUAGAGUUCCAUUUGGGACGUAACCACUGUUACAGGGACUGGGAAAGGAAGGAUCACUGUUGGCCUAGCUUAAGUGAGCUCCCCGUGGGAAAGCGUCAGAGCGCGAGAAUAGUUGAAGAGUUGUCAUGCAGCAUAAUCUUCCGGGGACAUAUUUUGAAGGGAGGAGAGGGGAGAGGCUCCUAUACUCGACACAAAUAGAGCAUGAUUUCAGAUCAACGCUGGACCUGUUGGACAAGUUUGGUUAAAACAGGAACUAGCGAUGGGCCUACGAUACAUUAUUAAAACAGUCGCAAGAGAUGCUUCUUCCACAACCCCAUACUCAACCAGUUCGCCCCUCCCGCGUGUACCUCUUCGGCUAUAUUUGUCUAGAUCGAAAUAAUCAAAUAAACCCUGAUGGUUUGGAACGACUCGACUACUGUAUUACCCUAUCGGGGGCUCUAUAUCGGAACCAUGCUCUCCCUAAUCUCCUGUUGGGCCCAAAACAGAUUUAAACCAAUCAGGACUCGCCUAGUGUUCUUGCGCUACUAAUGGGGAUUAAUUGAGACGUAAAAAAAGGAGGCCUCGAGCUUGUCACCCCACUGAUAAGCAACGUUCUAGACUAGAGUCUAGCUGGCGUUCUCACUACACCGCUGCUUCAGGAGUAGAGCCACAGAGCAUACCUGCUGUCACAUAGCGGGACCAGCCACUUGAUGUAUGUAAAUAGAUUUGGAGACAGCAUGGCGUCGCCUCAGGACGCUAGCAGCCUCGUCGCUGGCUGCAGCAGAGUUUACGUUUCUGAUUUGCAUCAGUUUUAGAAUCAGCCAGGACACAAGCCAUUAUUUGACGUCCAUGCAGGUAUGAGGACGUCGGGAGAUGACGUUGAAACCGCAACACUAGGGGAAACAGUGAGCACUGUUACCUUCAAGUAGGUUUCGCUAGGCGUUAUGGGAUGGGAAUGACGGGCGGCUGUGUAAGCGUCUGCCUCUGAUUCCAAAGAAUGCAAGUUCGAAUCCAGCAAUAGAAAGUUGUUUUUGAUAUUUUUGUUUUAAGCCUAUCCCAAACCUUAACCCUUAGCUUAACCAUUCGGAUGAACGUCUAAUUCUAACGUGAGACUGUGAGAGCUGGUAGUUUAGAAUACCCAAUUGUGGUGUGAGGCUCUCAAAUUCAAAGGACCAGAGCAAGCUGCAGCUUGCUGUGUUGGAGUGACAUGGAACUUAGAUAAAGAGAAGCGGUGACCACGAGGAAGAACAACACAAAUAGGCAAAUUAAGAUUCUAAUCGAUUCUCCAUGAGUGGAAUGGGAAGGUUAAUUUAGCCUUAUGUCAAUACAAUGAAACAAUAAUUACCCAAAUGUUUGUGUUUUUGAUUUGACAUCAACACCCAUGGAAAAAUACCAGAAAAGGUUGGUUUCAAUUAGGCUAUUGACACACUUGCAAUUUGGUCAAGCUUUUUCAAUAGGCAUAGAGUUAAAGCAGCCAAUGCUUAAAUGUGAUUUUUAUGGAUUAAUAUUUUUUAUUUUACGCCAUUCAUAUAUUUUUCUAAUUAUGCUAUUAUUCUUAAAAUAUUUUCUGACAUUGUGACACACACGCAAACAGUUUCAUUAUGCGGUUCUCUCUACACAUGACCCUAAACUCUUUACACUAAACCUAACCACAACCGCAUCCGGAGCCGUUUGUGUGUUUUCCUCUCAGAUGGCAGAUUAAGACCCAUUAAACACAGUCAUUAUUUCUCUUUAAAUCUACACAGCUGUGUGUGUGUGUGUGUGUGUGUGUGUGUGUGUGUGUGUGUGUGUGUGUGUGUGUGUGUGUGUGUGUGUCGAAAUGUCAGAAAAUACUUUAAGAAUAAACAAAUAUGCAUGCUUAAAAUAAGAAAAACACAAAAAGAUGCUUGAAAUCUAGGAGUUUACACAACAUUAUAAUAAACAAUAGUUGACAGGCACACAAAUAAUUACAAAGAGAGAUUGGUUCCAGAAAGGUUCGAAUCAGGCCAAAUUCUCUUAAUUGGACCGUCUUUGGACAAAAGGUGUCCGAUUGGGUGUCACUUAUUAAGAUCAGUUCUGACCAGAAGAGAACUGUACGGAAACUAGAGUCUUUCAGAGUGAAAGAGAAGUGGAUAGGGCCUUGGCCUUUGGUUUUGAAGAGAACGGGUGAAACAACACGCCCUAAGGAGGGCCUGGCACCCUAUUCCCUAUAUUGUAGCCAGGGCUCUCAUCAAAAGUAGUGCACAAUAUUGGGAAUAGGGUGUAAUUUGGGACGCAAGACAGCACUUGCUGAUGCGGGUUUAAGACACAUGACACCGCCUCCAGUUGUUGCUUUACAGUACCGCGUUUGGUUUGAUUAAUCGCCGGGGCCUUUAGUAACAUCUCCGCUAAAGAGAGAGAGAGGUAGUUACAAACAGAACCGCCCGCACCUACUGUAUUUACCUGUAAGUGCGCCCCCCCCACACACACACACACUUUCCAAACUGAAGUACGUCAUUAGCAGCUGUUAAUGACUCGUGCACACUCACACAAUAUAGCUCUCUUCCUUGCUUCGUCAACAUCGAAAUAACAAAGCCAUGUUUUCACCAAGACGUGCCCCAACAGCGCGCGCGCAAUCUUAACUGGGAGAGGAGGAAGAGGGGCAGGGAAGGAAGGAAGAAAGAAAGAAUCAACUGCUGUCAUCACAUUCCCCAAGCAGAGAAGAAAUGUUAGUUAAAGACUGCAGUUAACCAUUGGAUGGUGUGGGAUGUCGGCAGUGCUUAAUUUGAGCUCGAUCCUGUCGGAACAGGAUCUGGCAUUUCUCGGUUUUGGACGGUGUCAUUCCGGUGCCUCUUUAUUGCAUGACCUUUUUUCUCUCUCACGUGUCGCAAUGUCACAAGUAUAAUAAAAGCUAUCAAAAAGUU